rnacentral:rRNA from 1 species
AAGUCGUAACAAGGUUUCCGUAGGUGAACCUGCGGAAGGAUCUUUACCAAAUUUUCCCAUUGCAAUUUGACACCGUGUGUGAACUGGAUCUGUGCUCGCUUUGGCUGCUGGUGACGGUGGCCGAGCGUAUUCAACCCCAUUGUCCAUCUUUUUUGCAUUCUCUUUAUAUGUUGAGAGCUUUUCGAGCUCUUGUUUUGAAUUGGAAAUACAACUUUUAACGGUGGAUCUCUUGGCUCGCGCAUCGAUGAAGAACGCAGCAAACUGCGAUACGUAGUGUGAAUUGCAGAUACAGUGAAUCAUCGAAUCUUUGAACGCAACUGGCGCUCUCGGGUCCCAGUCCUGGGAGCAUGUCUGCUUGAGUAUCAUUUUGCUUUAACUCGGCGUUUUGCCUGCUGUUUUCGUUUCUUCGGGAAUGGGAAGGGAGCGGGCGAUAUACGCUGGAUGUGAACGUUCACGUUUUUCUGUGAUCGUUUGAAAUGCAGGGCGAGGUUGGCACAUGUUUUUGCUGCUUCUGACGCCAAACUGCGAGUGGUGUUCCUCUCUGUCAGUUCUGGAUCAGCGAGUUGGUAAUUGUGUCGAUGGGGCCGAUAUCUGACGAAGCGCAUUUUGUUUUCUGGUUUGCGGAUGAAGAAUGAAAAAAAAACGCAACUGGAUUCAAAUUGUCUCUCUCCCUUAAGAGGGGAAGGGCGAUUUGAGGUCGAGGUGGUCUGUUUUUUUGAUAUUCAACACCUGUCUCAUCGAAACAUCAAGGGCGCUGCAUCAUCCAUGAUCUCAAGUCAGUCAAGACUACCCGCUGAACUUAA